rnacentral:lncRNA from 1 species
CCUAUAAGAGACUAACUACUCAACGGUAAAAUUUUUAUUUCAACAAAAUAAAUAGAACUACUAUUUCUGGAUAAUUAUUUAAUAUAAAUUUAUUACUAUAUUAUUUUAAGGAAAUAUGUCUUUCAUAUUUAAUUAGAUUAUUUUUAUUAGAUAAGAAAAAAUGUUAAUUAAAUUUUAUAUUAAAAUUUUAAAUUAUUUUAAAAGCAUGCUGGGCUUU